rnacentral:rRNA from 1 species
AGCGAACGUUUGCGGCGGGCUUAACACAUGCAAGUCGAACGAGAAUCCCUUCGGGGAGGAAAGUGGCGCACGGGUGCGUAACACGUGGAUAACCAACCCAUUGGUUUGGGACAACACCGGGAAACUGGUGCUAAUACCAGAUGUGUCGCAGCUGUCUUCAGGCGGUUGCGAGAAAGGCCCGCAAGGGUCGCCAACGGACGGGUCCGCGUCCCAUCAGCUAGUUGGUGAGGUAAUGGCUCACCAAGGCAAAGACGGGUAGCUGGUCUGAGAGGAUGAUCAGCCACACUGGAACUGAGACACGGUCCAGACUCCUACGGGAGGCAGCAGUGGGGAAUAUUGCGCAAUGGGCGAAAGCCUGACGCAGCCACGCCGCGUGAGCGAUGAAGGUCUUCGGAUCGUAAAGCUCUNUGGGGGGAGAAGAAGAAAGCCGGUGAAGAGCCGGCCCUGACGGUAUCCCCUUAGCAAGCACCGGCUAACUCUGUGCCAG